AGUGAACGCUGGCGGUAGGCCUAACACAUGCAAGUCGAACGGCAGCACAGUAAUAGCUUGCUCUUACGGGUGGCGAGUGGCGGACGGGUGAGGAAUACAUCGGAAUCUACUUUUUCGUGGGGGAUAACGUAGGGAAACUUACGCUCAUACCGCAUACGACCUACGGGUGAAAGCAGGGGAUCUUCGGACCUUGCGCGAUUGAAUGAGCCGAUGUCGGAUUAGCUAGUUGGCGGGGUAAAGGCCCACCAAGGCGACGAUCCGUAGCUGGUCUGAGAGGAUGAUCAGCCACACUGGAACUGAGACACGGUCCAGACGCCUACGGGAGGCAGCAGUGGGGAAUAUUGGACAAUGGGCGCAAGCCUGAUCCAGCCAUACCGCGUGGGUGAAGAAGGCCUUCGGGUUGUAAAGCCCUUUUGUUGGGAAAGAAAAGCAGCAGGUUAAUACCCCGCUGUUCUGACGGUACCCAAAGAAGAAGCACCGGCUAACUUCGU
rnacentral:rRNA from 1 species